rnacentral:rRNA from 1 species
CCCUCGAGAGGGGAAUAACUCGCCGAAAGGUGAGCUAAUACCGCGUACGAUCCUUGGUCGCAAGGCGAAGGAUGAAAGCUGCACCGUGGGUGUGGCGCUCGAGGAUGGGCUCAUGUCCUAUCAGCUUGUUGGUGAGGUAACGGCUCACCAAGGCUACGACGGGUAGCUGGUCUGAGAGGACGAUCAGCCACACUGGCACUGCGACACGGGCCAGACUCCUACGGGAGGCAGCAGUAAGGAAUAUUGCGCAAUGGACGACAGUCUGACGCAGCGACGCCGCGUGGGGGAUGAAGGUCUUCGGAUUGUAAACCCCUUUCGGGUGGAAAGAUGGCUCUCGACAACGAGAGCGGACGGUACCACCAGAAGCAGCCACGGCCAACUUCGUGCCAGCAGCCGCGGUAAGACGUAGGGUGCAAGCGUUGUUCGGAUUCACUGGGCGUAAAGCGCGCGUAGGCGGUCUGUUAAGUGAGUGGUGAAAUCUCCAGAGCUCAACUCGGAAAUUGCUUCUCAUACUGGCAGACUAGAGGAAUGCAGAGGUAAGUGGAAUUCCUGGUGUAGCGGUGACAUGCAUUGAUAUCAGGAGGAACACCCAUGGCGAAGGCAGCUUACUGGGCAUUAUCUGACGCUGAGGCGCGAAAGCGUGGGGAGCAAACAGAAUUAGAUACUCUGGUAGUCCACGCCCUAAACGAUGGAUACUAGGCGUAAGAGGUAUCGACCCCUCUUGUGCCGCAGCUAACGCACUAAGUAUCCCGCCUGGGGACUACGGCCGCAAGGUUGAAACUCAAAUGAAUUGACGGGACCCCGCACAAGCGGUGGAGCAUGUGGAUUAAUUCGAUACUAACCGAAGAACCUUACCC